rnacentral:rRNA from 1 species
AUUGAACGCUGGCGGCAGGCCUAACACAUGCAAGUCGAACGAGUGGCGGACGGGUGAGUAAUUUCUGGGAAACUGCCUGAUGGAGGGGGAUAACUACUGGAAACGGUAGCUAAUACCGCAUACCAUCAGAUGUUCCCAGAUGGGAUUAGCUAGUUGGUGGGGUAACGGCUCACCAAGGCGCCGAUCCCUAGCUGGUCUGAGAGGAUGACAAGCAAAACUGGAACUGUGACACGGGCCAGACUCCUAAGGGAGGCAGCAGUGGGGAAUAUUGAACAAUGGGCGCAAUCCUGAUGCAGCCAUGCCGCGUGGAGGAAGAAGGCCUUCGGGUUGUAAAGUACUUUCAGCGGGGAGGCGGUACCCGCAGAAGAAGCACCGGCUAACUCCGUGCCAGAAGACGCGGUAAUUC